UGUGGACACUGACCUAGCUGGUCUCAAAGGCCUCUUUCAAUUUUAACAUUCCCCCAUUCCAUUGACUAACACAGAGAUACUUUUAUUGCAGAAGUGCUUCGGUCAGGCAGUAUCUUUGAAAAUAAUUUGGCCAAUGAAAGCCCUGGCAUUGGAUGAAAGUGCUAGCUGCUGGGAAUGCUACCCCUCCUUUUGGUUCUCUUUCAAGUCCUUCAGGUUCAAACAAUACAGAAGUGUAUAAAGUAAGAAUUGAAAGUCUCUUCGCUGCUCUAAUCUCACUCCUCAGAGGUGAUCACUGGACCUGAGUGAGCAGAAGGCUUUUCAGAAUUACAGCCUGAACUAUUUCUUGAGCAAUUUGGGAACUCAUUUCUAAAGCAGUCCUCAGAUUCACACAACGUAGUUUGUGACGGAGUAUGCCCAGAGCAGUGUGGAAGAUGAUCAAAGUAUGACAUUUCUUCUACCCCAGAGGCUGGCAUUUCUGCAGGCACAAAUGAGCUUGGUUUUCAAGCACUGCUCUUUGAACACAAGGAAUUCCUUUAAUGAUCACGCCGGACUAUAUAGACUUUGGAAUCAGACUCUUUGAAUUCCAGCUCUGCCAUUUACCAACUUUGACACUUUGGACAACGUCUCAUUCUGUCACCCAGGCUGGAGUGCAGUGGCACAAUUAUAGCUCACUGCAGCCUCAAACACCUGGGCUCAAGCAAUCCUUCCACCUCUGCCUCCUGAGUAAUUGGGACUACAGGCAUGUGCCACCACACCCAGCUAAUUUUUAAUUUUUAAUUUUUUUGUAGAGAUGGCGGUCUUGCUAUGUCACCCAGGCUGGUCUUGAACACCUGGCCUCAAGUGAUCCUCCGGCCUUGGUCUCUCAAAGCUCUGGGAUUACAGACAUGAGCCACUGCACCCGGCUCUAUCUCCCCUUCCUAUGUGUGUUAGCUCUAGAACAAGAGAAGCCUUGUUGAGAUUCCUGGCUGCCCACCCCCCAUCACCUCUCUGACUUUGGGCAAGUUGCCUGGCCUCUCUCAGCCUUUAUUUUCUUUUUGUGAAAUGGGGAUAAUAAUAGUACUUGCCUCAUAGGCAAAAUGUUGUGAGAACUAAACGAGAAAAUGCAUGUAAAGCACUUGGCACUUAGUUCUUUUUAUGAUUAUAAUGAUAAUCAGACACAAUAAAUUAUGUCUCACAUCACAUGCUGUUUAGCCUAUUCACUGUUCUAUUUUUCCUGAAGUCAGUUCAGUGUGUAGCAUCCAGAAUUGAACAAAACACCCCCGAUGUGACCUGAUAGUGCAAAGUAAACUAUCAUCUCCUUCAUUCUAGGUAUUAUGUUUCUAUUAAUGCAGUCUAAAGGUAGGAUAUGAGUUGUUUUGUUUAUGUAUCUUUUUUUUUUUUUUUUCAGGGAUGGGGAAUGACUAUCUCCAAUUAAACUUCUCAGUAAAAUCUCUCCUCUUGUGUGUUGUGCUUUAGUAUUUAGUUUUGGAUACUAGUGCAGGAUCUUAAAUUUAUCCCAUUACAUGUGAUUUCUUUAGUGUUAGUUCCUUUUCAAAUCUGUAUAAGCCAUUCAUUCAUUCAUUCAUUCAUUCAUUUUAGAAAGUCAAACAUAUAUUUAUCAUGAGCCAGCACAGUGCCAGUUAUUUGCCAUAUUCUAAGAUUUUAAACAUUCAUUGGCAUUUUAAUUGUGCAUGAUUUCUAUACCUUCAUCUGAAUUGUUGUGUAACAUAUUUGGAUAAUACAGAGCUAAGGGCACAGGCAAAGAAAUAUCUUUAGAAACUUUCCUCUAGGCUCACCAGCACCCUUAGGGCACUGUCAUUUAAAUAUUAUGAAUUAAUCUUGUGUGGUAUCAUUUGGUACAAAUUAUUUUCCAGCUUGACCAGCAAGAAAUCUUGAGACUUUCUCAGAAUUCUUGUUCAAGUCAAGAUUCCCUAUAUCUUUCUAGUCACCUAACUCAAUAUUCCUAUCAAAAUAAGAUGAAUCUGAUGAGAUUUUUUUUAAAAAGUGAAGUUAGGCUGGCUUGUUUCCUAAUGGGCUGAGAGGACAUAUUCCCAUUCCAGAAUUUUGAAGAAUCUAAGUGCACACAACACAGUGCCUAAAGCAUGUCAGCUGUCUGUUUCGGAUGCUCGUCCUACCACGUGUAGCAUGGCGAAGACAGGAGUCAGAGGUUGGGAAGUUUAGCUAGGUGAAAAAGUCUGCCCUAGGGCAUGCCCUUCCCACUACUGGAGAGCAGUUGCUUUACAUUUUAUUUUACCUAGCUUUUUGUAAAUAUUUCUCCCUUUCUGGGUUACUUGUGAUCAAGGGGCAUGGACUUACUCAUCUCUUAUAAUUCCAAUCAGUGCAUGACACAUCAUAGCUGAUCCUCAAUUAUGUUUUAAGUUAAUGUACUCAAGGUUUAUUUGUCAAUUGAAUGCCUAACCUAUUACAAUUAAGGAGAGAGAAUACUAUCCCCUUUCAGUCCAGGUGUAUGGCAAAUGGAGAUGUCUGUAGGUAUUAGGACAUCCCUAGAAACUUUCAGAAAGGCAUUGGAGGAAUGCCUCCUUAAACAGUAUGAAACUCCAGUGAUUAGCAAUGGAGUCUAAUGAAUGAGAAGCAGUAUAAUGGCUUUCUCAAAAUAUUGGGAAAUUCAUGAUCUUUUUCUCUCCUUUAUCAUUCCUAGGGUUUUGGAAAUCUGGAUUGUAGCAGGGCAUUGUGGAUCUGCCUGUUGGUGGAGAACCCUAGACUGCAUGCAGCCAUGCACAUGAUCUGGAGACACAGCAGAGACAAGGUCUUUGUCUGUUGCUCAGGAUGGAGUGUAGUGGUGCCAUAGCACACUGUAAUCUUGAAUUUCUGGACUACUGGCAUACACCACCAUGCUUAGGUUCGGGCCACAACAUCCGUGACUUUACCGGUUUUGGUCUCUUCCUUGUAACUUUCGGCUCCAGGAUGCUGCGCAGCUCCUCUCUGCACUAUCUAUCAGAACGUUGCUCUGCGUGCUUGAAAGUUUCGCCAAACAGAAGUACACAAAAACAAACAGAGGCGAAACACAAAUCCCCUCAGCCCUGGAGGAAAAGGCCUUGAAGCUCUUCCAGUGCAGAGGCCACGCAGAGGACAUGCUCCUACCUGUGCACAUCGGCCACGCCUGGGGUGCCUCCUGGAGUCCAGGCUGCUGGCGAUGGAAUCCAUCAUGUUGCUGAUGUCACUGUAAGUCGCAGCCCGCAGGCUGAGCUAUGGGGCAGUUUGAGGGGCCAGAAGUUUUCUCCUGGAUGUCAUCUUCAGCAUACCCAGGAACCAGAGAAAAUGUAAUUCUUCCCAUGCCCAUCUCACUCCUGCAGACUGGGGUCCCUCUUCAGUUUCUUUUUUUUUUUUUAAUCAUAAGCACAUAGGCUCUGGGACAUCAUGGAACCCAGAAGCAUGCUGAAAGGUGAAGCACAAGUCUAAAGUCUUGUUAGUUAUGAAAUCCAGCUCUCCUGGAUUAGGCAAGGGGAAAACCACAUAUUUAAGAUAUACUAGGGCA
rnacentral:lncRNA from 10 species